rnacentral:rRNA from 1 species
UGAUGGAGGGGGUAUAACUACUGGAAACGGUAGCUAAUACCGCAUAACGUCGCAAGACCAAAGAGGGGGACCUUCGGGCCUCUUGCCAUCCGAUGUGCCCAGAUGGGAUUAGCUAGUAGGUGGGGUAACGGCUCACCUAGGCGACGAUCCCUAGCUGGUCUGAGAGGAUGACCAGCCACACUGGAACUGAGACACGGUCCAGACUCCUACGGGAGGCAGCAGUGGGGAAUAUUGCACAAUGGGCGCAAGCCUGAUGCAGCCAUGCCGCGUGUGUGAAGAAGGCCUUCGGGUUGUAAAGCACUUUCAGCGGGGAGGAAGGGAGUAAGGUUAAUAACCUUGCUCAUUGACGUUACCCGCAGAAGAAGCACCGGCUAACUCCGUGCCAGCAGCCGCGGUAAUACGGAGGGUGCAAGCGUUAAUCGGAAUUACUGGGCGUAAAGCGCACGCAGGCGGUCUGUCAA